GGUUUUUGAAAAAAAGAAAAGGGGAAGGGUUUUGGUGCUCUGGGCUAGACGAUUUUCGGCGAUCUGACCACCGUCCGUCCGUCACCGGCGACCACCAUAUACGACGGUUGAAAGUGUAAAAUCGACCCCUUUUAACCCUUUUGCUCCCCUCGCCCUAGAUCCAUGGUUAAAAUACCCAAAAACCUCACGAAAGCCGAUAGAAAUUAAGGAAAACUCUCGGUUUUAAACUCUCCAAUCGCCCAAACAAGGAGCAGUUGGCGGUGGAGUAGGUGGUGCUGCAGGUGGUGACAGAGGGCAGUUGGCCAUAGGGGCGGC